CACAUGCAAGUCGAGGGGCUCUAUCGGAGUCACUGGCGCACGGGUGAGUAACACGUAGGUCAUCUACCCCUAUCACAGACAUAACCCCGGGAAACCGGGGCUAAUAUCUGAUGAGGUCGCGAGAUCAAAGCUUAGGCGGAUAGGGAUGAGCCUGCGGCUGAUUAGCUAGUUGGUGAGGUAAUGGCUCACCAAGGCGACGAUCAGUAGCUGGUCUGAGAGGACGAACAGCCACACUGGAACUGAGACACGGUCCAGACUCCUACGGGAGGCAGCAGUGAGGAAUAUUGGUCAAUGGGAGCAAUCCUGAACCAGCAAUGCCGCGUGUGGGAUGAAGGCGCUUCGCGUCGUAAACCACUGUCGGACGGGACGAAAAGAGCUAUAAAGCUCCGAGACGGUACCGUCAAAGGAAGGAUCGGCUAACUACGUGCCAGCAGCCGCGGUAAUACGUAGGAUCCAAGCGUUGUCCGGAUUUACUGGGUAUAAAGGGUGCGUAGGCGGUCUUGUGCGUCAGAGGUGAAAUAUCCGGGCUUAACCCGGAGGGUGCCUUUGAUACGGCAGGACUUGAGUACGAGAGAGGAUGAUGGAAUUCCUGGUGUAGCGGUGAAAUGCGUAGAUAUCAGGAGGAACACCGGUGGCGAAGGCGGUCAUCUGGCUCGUAACUGACGCUGAGGCACGAAAGCGUGGGGAUCAAACAGGAUUAGAUACCCUGGUAGUCCACGCCCUAAACGAUGUAUGCUUGGUGUUGGGUCCGCAAGGACUCAGUGCCGUAGGAAAUCUGAUAAGCAUACCACCUGG
rnacentral:rRNA from 1 species